GGGGAUGUAGCUCAAUUGAUAGAGCACUACUCAAAUGCAUGAUAGAGAUACGGGUUCAGUUCCUCACAUCUCCA
rnacentral:tRNA from 1 species